UACAGAGGUCUCAAGCGUUGUUCGGAUUCAUUGGGCGUAAAGGGUGCGUAGGCGGCGCGGUAAGUCGGGUGUGAAAUCUCGGGGCUUAACUCCGAAGCUGCAUUCGAUACUGCCGUGCUUGAGGACUGGAGAGGAGACUGGAAUUUACGGUGUAGCGGUGAAAUGUGUAGAUAUCGUAAGGAAGACCAGUGGCGAAGGCGGGUCUCUGGACAGUUCCUGACGCUGAGGCACGAAGGCCAGGGGAGCAAACGGG
rnacentral:rRNA from 1 species